GAACCGCGGGGGCAGCCUAAGGAGAAGCCUGACCUGCUCCCCACAGGGGCCCUGCACCCACCUCCGAACUCAGCUGUGACUCUCAGCCGGCCUGGAAAACAGAAGGUUUAUUGGUCGCUGGGAACACAGCGUAGAACAGAGCUUGUUAGCACAGAAAUCAGGAGCUCUCAGCAAAGUCCAUCUGGGGAAAAUCCCCUCUAACCACACCAGCCCCUGAGCCUGCAGGCUGAGGAAUCGCGUCCACGUUUUGCUUCAGAUCACCAGUCUUCCAGAGGACAGAGAAGGGAAAUGGCUGCGAUGGAGCCAGCUCAGAUGCCGGUGACCUUCGAGGAGGUGGCUGUGUAUUUCACC